ensembl:misc_RNA Metazoa_SRP Metazoan signal recognition particle RNA
GCCGGGCGUGGUGGGGCACGCCUGUAAUCCCAGCUACUUGGGAGGCUGAGGCAGGAGAAUCACUUGAACCCAGGAGGCAGGAGUUGCAGUGAGCUGAGAACAUGCCACUUCACUCCAGCUUGGGUGACAGAGGGAGACCCUGUCUCAC